GACGAACGCUGGCGGCGUGCUUAACACAUGCAAGUCGAACGGUAAGGCCCUGCUUUUGUGGGGUGCUCGAGUGGCGAACGGGUGAGUAACACGUGAGUAACCUGCCCUUGACUUUGGGAUAACUUCAGGAGACUGGGGCUAAUACCGGAUAGGAGCUCCUGCUGCAUGGUGGGGGUUGGAAAGUUUCGGCGGUUGGGGAUGGACUCGCGGCUUAUCAGCUUGUUGGUGGGGUAGUGGCUUACCAAGGCUUUGACGGGUAGCCGGCCUGAGAGGGUGACCGGCCACAUUGGGACUGAGAUACGGCCCAGACUCCUACGGGAGGCAGCAGUGGGGAAUAUUGCACAAUGGGCGGAAGCCUGAUGCAGCAAUGCCGCGUGCGGGAUGACGGCCUUCGGGUUGUAAACCGCUUUCGCCUGUGACGAAGCGUGAGUGACGGUAAUGGGUAAAGAAGCACCGGCUAACUACGUG
rnacentral:rRNA from 1 species